rnacentral:miRNA from 1 species
UUCCAUUCUUUUUGCUGGUGGGCAUCUAGGCUAGUUCUGUUCUCGAGCUGUGAUGGACAGGACAACAGAAGGUGUGGAGAGUCCCUCUGUGAUGGAUAUGGAG